rnacentral:rRNA from 1 species
UACGUAGGGUGCGAGCGUUAAUCGGAAUUACUGGGCGUAAAGCGUGCGCAGGCGGUUCGUUAAGACAGAUGUGAAAUCCCUGGGCUCAACCUGGGAACUGCAUUUGAAACUGCAUGGCUAGAGUAUCGAAGAGGGAAGUGGAAUUUCCGGUGUAGCGGUGAAAUGCGUAGAUAUCGGAAGGAACACCAGUGGCGAAAGCGACUUCCUGGUCGAAUACUGACGUUCAUGUGCGAAAGCGUGGGGAGCAAACAG